CGGACGGGUGAGUAAUGUAUGGGGAUCUGCCUGAUGGCGGGGGAUAACUACUGGAAACGGUAGCUAAUACCGCAUAAUGUCUGCGGACCAAGGCGGGGGACCUCCGGGCCUCGCGCCAUCAGAUGAACCCAUAUGGGAUUAGCUUGUAGGUAAGGUAACGGCUUACCUAGGCGACGAUCCCUAGCUGGUCUGAGAGGAUGACCAGCCACACUGGAACUGAGACACGGUCCAG
rnacentral:rRNA from 1 species